AGGUCUAUUGGGAGGUGCUUUAUGAUGAUGAUGGGAAUUGCAGUUGAAAUGGGUUCCCCCCUGCCAUUGGGUUCUUUCCGUUUCUGGCGGACUGGCAUUCUACAUAUUUUUUGCUUGUGGUGCGAAAAGUAAUUUGUUUGAUGGGCUUUGAUGUGCGUCUCUAGUACAAGCCUUGACUAUAUAUGCAGUUGAAAUGGUCUCUGCCAUUGCAUUCUGGCCAGGUAGCUUGUUCACUAUGAAGUGAGACAGUUGACCUGCCUGCAGUUGAUCGUAUAAAAGCAUCCGGUGUUUAUGGUUGAUGCCUCUGGAAACUGAACGUCCUCUUGGCUAAAGGCAUAGGCAUCUGACAUAAUGUGUCUGUUUUUGCUUGGAGAAAAAUCUCAAGUGGACUUAGUUGAAUUGGUUCGGGAUCUCUAUGGAAAGGGAAGAACUUUUGGUUGUGAUUGGCAAAAACUUUUGGUUUGCGAACUCUGCGCACCAUAAUUUGAAAAUACUUUUCUUUUGUAGUAUUAUAUUACUUUACUUGGUUCAGUAAAUCCGGCAUUCAG